rnacentral:rRNA from 1 species
UGGGGGAUAUUGCACAAUGGGCGAAAGCUUGAUGCAGCGACGCCGCGUGGGGGAUGAAGGCCUUCGGGUUGUAAACUUCUUUUGCUCUGAACAAGGCAUGCCUUUGGGGUGUGUUGAGUGUAGGGGUUGAUUAGCGCCGGCUAACUACGUUCCAGCAGCCGCGGUAAUACGUAGGGCGCGAGCGUUGUCCGGAAUUAUUGGGCGUAAAGGGCUUGUAGGUGGCUGGUUGCGUCUGUCGUGAAAGCUCAUGGCUUAACUGUGGGUUUGCGGUGGGUACGGGCUGGCUUGAGUGCAGUAGGGGAGGCUGGAAUUCCUGGUGUAGCGGUGGAAUGCGCAGAUAUCAGGAGGAAUACCGGUGGCGAAGGCGGGUCUCUGGGCUGUUACUGACGCUGAGGAGCGAAAGCGUGGGGAGCGAACAGG